GAUGAACGCUAGCGGCAGGCUUAAUACAUGCAAGUCGAACGGCAGCACGGGUAGCAAUAUCUGGUGGCGAGUGGCGCACGGGUGCGUAACGCGUAUGCAAUCUACCUUCAACUGGUGAAUAGCCCGAAGAAAUUCGGAUUAACACACCAUAGUAUAUUAGAGUGGCAUCACUUUAAUAUUAAAACUCCGGUGGUUGAAGAUGAGCAUGCGUGACAUAGCUAGUUGGUGAGGUAAUGGCUCACCAAGGCUACGAUGUCUAGGGGAUCUGAGAGGAUU
rnacentral:rRNA from 1 species